AAAAACGCGAGUUCCUUUUGGAUUUCCUUUUUGAUCAAUGAUAACCGCUGCAUUGUCGUCAUAGCGUAUUAUUAUACCGUCUUCGCAUUUGAACUCUUUACAUGUACGUACAAUUACAGCUCGAAUUACUUCGGAUCUUUCUAGAGGCAUUUGGGGCACUGCGUCUUUGAUUACAGCAACAAUAACAUCACCAAUACGAGCAUAUCGCUGAUUACUAGCAGCUCCUAUGACUCGAAUACACAUCAAUUUUCGAGCUCCACUGUUAUCUGCUACAUUUAAAAGGGUCUGAGGUUGAAUCAUAUUAUUUUGAUUUCAAUUUGUUAUUUCAAUGCAAAAGGAUGAAAGAAAUAUUGUCUUUCCAGAAAGAAGAACCUGGUUUUUUAUUUUCAAUACUACUUUUUUUGGGGGGUUAUAUUUCUAACCGAAGAAAUUGACUUCGUAUGGGCAUUUUGCUGGCAGCUAUGGAAAUAGCUGCUCUAGCUACAGUUUCG
rnacentral:misc_RNA from 1 species